CUUCCGGAGCAGGACAGAAACCAGGUAAAUUAGCAUGUAAUAUCCUUCCCGUUCCUGUGCAGAUGUCUGAGGCUUCUUUCUCCUUUAGUCAAAUCUGAUUUCUAUUUCUUCUUGGUUAAUACCCCCAGAGUGCUCCUGGCUGCUUGUGCCCA
rfam:Oryctolagus cuniculus cont2.42673, whole genome shotgun sequence.